AGUGAACGCUGGCGGUAGGCCUAACACAUGCAAGUCGAACGGCAGCACAGUAAGAGCUUGCUCUUACGGGUGGCGAGUGGCGGACGGGUGAGGAAUACAUCGGAAUCUACUUUUUCGUGGGGGAUAACGUAGGGAAACUUACGCUAAUACCGCAUACGACCUACGGGUGAAAGCAGUGGAUCUUCGGACCUUGCGCGAUUGAAUGAGCCGAUGUCGGAUUAGCUAGUUGGCGGGGUAAAGGCCCACCAAGGCGACGAUCCGUAGCUGGUCUGAGAGGAUGAUCAGCCACACUGGAACUGAGACACGGUCCAGACUCCUACGGGAGGCAGCAGUAGGGAAUCUUCGACAAUGGGCGAAAGCCUGAUGCAGCCAUACCGCGUGGGUGAAGAAGGCCUUCGGGUUGUAAAGCCCUUUUGUUGGGAAAGAACAGCAGCAUGUUAAUACCUCGCUGUUCUGACGGUACCCAAAGAAUAAGCCCCGGCUAACUUCGUG
rnacentral:rRNA from 1 species